rnacentral:rRNA from 1 species
AUUAGGUGGUUUAAGCGUGUAGUCGUGCCGCGUAGGCAAAUCCGCGUGGCUAAGAUGAGGCGUGAUGACGAGGAUCCUCGGAUCCGAAGCGAGUGAUACCCAGCUUCCAGGAAAAGCCUCUAAGCUUCAGUCUAAGAGUGACCGUACCGCAAACCGACACAGGUGGGCUGGUAGAGAAUACCAAGGCGCUUGAGAGAACUCAGGAGAAGGAACUCGGCAAAUUGAUACCGUAACUUCGGGAGAAGGUAUGCCCCUGGUACGUGAAGGCCCUCGCGGCCGGAGCGGAACGGGGUCGCAGAGAAUCGGUGGCUGCGACUGUUUAUUAAAAACACAGCACUCUGCAAACACGAAAGUGGACGUAUAGGGUGUGACGCCUGCCCGGUGCCGGAAGGUUAAGUAUGGGGUGCAAGCUCUUGAUCGAAGCCCCGGUAAACGGCGGCCGUAACUAUAACGGUCCUAAGGUAGCGAAAUUCCUUGUCGGGUAAGUUCCGACCUGCACGAAUGGCGUAACGAUGGCCACACUGUCUCCUCCUGAGACUCAGCGAAGUUGAAAUGUUUGUGAAGAUGCAAUCUCCCCGCGGCUAGACGGAAAGACCCCAUGAACCUUUACUGUAGCUUUGCAUUGGACUUUGACGGGACUUGUGUAGGAUAGGUGGGAGGCUAUGAAACCGGGACGCCAGUUCCGGCGGAGCCACCCUUGAAAUACCACCCUGGUGUCGUCGAGGUUCUAACCCAGGCCUGUGAAUCCAGGUCGGGGACCGUGCAUGGUGGGCAGUUUGACUGGGGCGGUCUCCUCCCAAAAGGUAACGGAGGAGUACGAAGGUCGCCUAGGUACGGUCGGACAUCGUACUGAUAGUGCAAUGGCAAAAGGUGGCUUGACUGCGAGACCCACAAGUCGAGCAGGUGCGAAAGCAGGUCAUAGUGAUCCGGUGGUUCUGUAUGGAAGGGCCAUCGCUCAACGGAUAAAAGGUACUCUGGGGAUAACAGGCUGAUUCCGCCCAAGAGUUCACAUCGACGGCGGAGUUUGGCACCUCGAUGUCGGCUCAUCACAUCCUGGGGCUGUAGCCGGUCCCAAGGGUAUGGCUGUUCGCCAUUUAAAGUGGUACGUGAGCUGGGUUUAAAACGUCGUGAGACAGUUUGGUCCCUAUCUGCCGUGGGCGCUGGAAGUUUGAGAGGGCCUGCUCCUAGUACGAGAGGACCGGAGUGGACGCACCCCUGGUGUACCGGUUGUGACGCCAGUCGCAUCGCCGGGUAGCUAUGUGCGGAAGAGAUAACCGCUGAAAGCAUCUAAGCGGGAAACUCGCCUCAAGAUGAGACUUCCCCGGGGCCUCGAGCCCCCUGAAGGGUCGUUGAAGACCACAACGUUGAUAGGCCGGGUGUGUAAGCGUGGCAACACGUUCAGCUAACCGGUACUAAUUGCCCGUGUGGCUUGAUCCC